rnacentral:rRNA from 1 species
GUCUAUGGCCAUACCACCCUCAAUGUGCCUGAUCUUGUCUGAUCUCAGAAGCUAACCAGGGUCGGGCCUGGUUAGUAACUGGAUGGCGUACUUU